GAUGAACGCUGGCGGCGUGCCUAAUACAUGCAAGUCGAGCGAACGGACGAGAAGCUUGCUUUUCUGAUGUUAGCGGCGGACGGGUGAGUAACACGUGGAUAACCUACCUAUAAGACUGGGAUAACUUCGGGAAACCGGAGCUAAUACCGGAUAAUAUUUUGAACCGCAUGGUUCAAAAGUGAAAGACGGUCUUGCUGUCACUUAUAGAUGGAUCCGCGCUGCAUUAGCUAGUUGGUAAGGUAACGGCUUACCAAGGCAACGAUGCAUAGCCGACCUGAGAGGGUGAUCGGCCACACUGGAACUGAGACACGGUCAAGACUCCUACGGGAGGCAGCAGUAGGGAAUCUUCCGCAAUGGGCGAAAGCCUGACGGAGAAACGCCGCGUGAGUGAUGAAGGUCUUCGGAUAGUAAAACUCUGUUAUUAGGGAAGAACAUAUGUGUAAGUAACUAUGCAAAUCUUGACGGUACCUAAUCAGAAAGCCACGGCUAACUACGUG
rnacentral:rRNA from 1 species